CUACGGGUCGCUGCAGUGGGGAAUAUUGCACAAUGGGGGAAACUCUGAUGCAGCAACGCCGCGUGGAGGAUGACACUUUUCGGAGCGUAAACUCCUUUUAUAUAGGAAGGAGAUGACGGUACUAUAUGAAUAAGCGCCGGCUAACUCCGUGCCAGCAGCCGCGGUAAUACGGAGGGCGCAAGCGUUACUCGGAAUCACUGGGCGUAAAGAGCGUGUAGGCGGAUUAAAAAGUCAGAAGUGAAAUCCUAUAGCUUAACUAUAGAACUGCUUCUGAAACUCUUAAUCUAGAAUAUGGGAGAGGUAGAUGGAAUUUCUGGUGUAGGGGUAAAAUCCGUAGAGAUCAGAAGGAAUACCGAUUGCGAAGGCGAUCUACUAGAACAUUAUUGACGCUGAGACGCGAAAGCGUGGGGAGCAAACAGGAUUAGAUACCCUCGUAGUC
rnacentral:rRNA from 1 species